rnacentral:lncRNA from 1 species
GGUAUUGUAACAGCCAGACAACUAUCAAAGAUGUGGCCACAACUAGUUCUGUUGUUUAUCACAUCACAAGCCCAUGGUCAGCAAUGUUCCUGGGGAAUAUAUGGCGAGAACUGCGACAAGAACUGCCCUUUGACCUGCAACACUGAUCCUGUAAAGAACCUUCGCCACUGUCAAAAGUACACUGGGAAGUGUUCUGAGGGAUGCGUGCCAGGCCAUCAUGGCGAUCAGUGUAAUAUUCUUUGCAGCGGAGGCUGUCUGCACAAAACCUGCAAUCAGGGAAAUGGACAAUGCACAAUAGGCUGCAGUGGUACAUACAGUGGGGAUUAUUGCAACAUCACUUCAGCAUCACAAGCCCAUGGUGGUCAGCAAUGUUCCUGGGGAAUAUAUGGCGAGAACUGCGACAAGAACUGCCCUUUGACUUGUAACUCUGAUCCUGUAAGGAACCUUCGCCACUGUCAAAAGUACACUGGGAUGUGUUCUGAGGGAUGCGUUCCUGGACAUCAUGGCGAUCUGUGUGAUAUUCUUUGCAGCGGAGGCUGUCUGCACAAAACCUGCAAUCAGGGAAAUGGACAAUGCACAAUAGGCUGCAGUGGUACAUACAGAGGGGAUUAUUGCAACAUCACUUCAGGUAUGGUAGUAGUGGAGUGCUUUAUUUUGAUAAAAUAAUUGACAUAUUUGGAAAUACAAGAAACAUAACACAUUAUUUCACAAAGCCAAAGUUAGAAAUACGUGAUACACUCGAUUAUGCAGAUUUCAUAUUUUAAGCACCAAACCAGAUCCGAAUGCGGAGACAUACAUAACAACUUUAGGAGACAUCGAUUAAGACUAUGAAUGGUUCAAACUUUCCAGCCAGACAGAUCAUGUGUAUGUCGGGUUACCCGAAUGAAGCGUCCAUGCAAGGCUAUAACAGAGAAUGGUUGACUUACCAAAAGAAAUCACUGAGCACCACAUUGUCGUGUAUUGCUUCUGGAAAUACAACCGCGCCGCCUCAAACAGUCAUCAGCAGCAGUAGUAUGACUCAAACACACAACCAAAGAAAUGUAUUUACUAUGGGGUAAAUACGGUAACGAAUGUGAUUUGAAGAAGGCUGUGCACGUGAAAGCGGUGGCGUCACGUGCUUAAGGUGCAGAGGAGAGGGCAAGAAACACCACUCGAGGCCUUCACGUCACACAGGCGAGCUGUUGUCUUCUUUGUUCGGAAUGGAUUCACCACAGCAGGAAAAUCUUGACUCCAUUGAAGAACUACACAUUCCUGGUCAACCUAACAAAGCACAGGAUUCUGUUGAAGGACUUGCAGACAGAUCUACAGCCGGUUGGGCAGUAGUCUCGGAGUUGGAAGGGGAUGAGUUGGCUUCAAACUCGGAUGAAGAGAGACGUUUCGAGAGAGCAGAAAGUAAGGCACAGCGCAGAAAGCGCCCUACUUCUUUCAAUUCCCGUGGUAGAGGUUAUAGUCCUUAUCCUUCUGCAACUUUCCCCAAU